CAACCCUUAAGCUUAGCUUAGUGUUGGGAAUCUACUUUGAGCGGAGCUACCCGGGACCCCUCGCGGGGCUACCCGGUAGCGCCCUGUAGUUCCUCAAAUCCAGCGGCGGAGCUGUGGUAUCCUCUGAGCGUAGUAAUUAUAUCUCGCUUUUGUAGGUGCUGCGGUGCUUGCCGUAAAACCCCCCAAUUUUCAAU
rnacentral:misc_RNA from 1 species